rnacentral:rRNA from 1 species
UACGUAGGGGGCAAGCGUUGUCCGGAUUUAUUGGGCGUAAAGAGCGUGUAGGCGGCCAGGUAGGUCCGCUGUGAAAACUCGAGGCUCAACCUCGAGAUGUCGGCGGAAACCGUCUGGCUAGAGUCCGGAAGAGGAGAGUGGAAUUCCUGGUGUAGCGGUGAAAUGCGCAGAUAUCAGGAAGAACACCUAUGGCGAAGGCAGCUCUCUGGGACGGUACUGACGCUGAGACGCGAAAGCGUGGGGAGCGAACAGG